rnacentral:lncRNA from 1 species
UCGAGUAAUCCCUGCCCGCUUUUCCAAAUUCCAUUUCUAACUUUGCGAUUUCUGAUUCCGGAUCUAAUAUCUCGUCUGCGGUCCUGGGAGAUGACUUCGGUGAGUAGACACCUUUGGAUUUUGGUGAAGAGGAGAUCUGAACAACAGGUUGAGGUGACUUGGGUGAGUCCACACGUUUGAAUUUUGGUGAAGAGGAGAUCUGAACAACAGGUGAACCCUUUUCUGAAUCAUCUUCCAUCAUCAUUUUCUCUGGAACUUCAAUCUCUAGAAAAGGUCUUUCAAUGGAUUCAAAGUCCAAUCUCAUUUUCUCAAUUGAUUCAAAUAAUUCCUUGACAUCAGGAUCAUCUCUCCUG